rnacentral:rRNA from 1 species
CCUACGGGAGGCAGCAGUGGGGAAUAUUGCUCAAUGGGGGAAACCCUGAACCAGCGACGCCGCGUGACUGAUGAAGGAUUUCGGUAUGUAAACCUCUUUUAAUAGGGAAGAAAAUGACGGUACCUGACGAAUAAGCUCCGGCUAACUUCGUGCAAGCAGCCGCGGUAAUACGGAGGGUGCCAGCGUUAUUCGGAUUUACUGGGUGUAAAGGGAGCGUAGACGGGAUGGCAAGUCAGGGGUGAAAGCCUAUGGCUUAACCAUAGAACUGCAUUGGAAACUGUUAAUCUGGAGUACAGGAGAGGUAGGCGGAAUUCCUGGUGUAGCGGUGAAAUGCGUAGAUAUCACGAGGAACACCGAUUGCGAAGGCGGCUUACUGGACUGUAACUGACGCUGAGGCUCGAAAGCGUGGGGAGCAAACAGGAUUAGAUACCCUGGUAGUC